CCCAGGCAAUGGAGUGGUGUGAGAUCCGCCCUGGCACAGCUGUGCUGUCACACACCCAGUGCAGGCAGCCCUGGCUGUACCUGCCAGCACAUGCAGCAGGUGAGAGUGAGUCUUGGAGGCUCGUGCCACCUCCCAGCCCCAUCUGUGUGUACAGCAGGUGCUUCAGGCUCUUUUCCAGCAGAAAGCCACCUUGUUUUCCCGGGUUAGGCAUCCUGCAGCACGACUGGAAAACUGUUUCAAGUGCCCAUCCAAUAUGAGAUGCUUGAGGACAGAAUGUCACCCAAAUGAGCUACUGCCUACACUAAGCAGAAGGUGACUGGACAAUUUAUAUCUGCACACUUAUCAAAAGGAAGGCUGAAGAAUCAUUUUUAUUGGGUUCUCCACAGCCACAGGCCUGUGUUUAGUCCCAUGGUGUAGGAGGAUCACGAGUGGAAGCACAGCCUGGUGAGCCCCAGCAAGCAGAUCCUAACCCUGAGACACAGAUGUGCUGGACAGGAGAGCCCUGCCCAACACUGGGGCAACAAAGGUGUUUAUCAAUACAGACACUUGACCUUCUGAGA